AUGGAUUUGUUUUCAGAUUUGAAAGAAAGAGACAGUGAGUUCCAGUAUAUAGUUCAAGUAGACACCGAGAGUAGGAUAAGAACAAUUAUGUGGACUAAUGGACGUAGCAAGCUCCAGUACCAUCAUUUUGGCCAUGUCGUUACAUUCGAUACAACAUAUAAGACCAACCUGUACGAUAUGCCUUUCGGAUUGUUUGUUGGAGUAAACAAUCACUUCCAUAGUGUGCUUUAUGCCGGUGUCUUGAUGCGUGAUGAGAAAGUAGAGAGCUUUGAAUGGGUUUUCAGCGGAUUUCUAAAGAUGAUGGGCGGGAAGAAACCAGUUACAAUUUUAACAGAUCAAGCUAGGGCUAUGGAGGUUGCGAUUAUGAAUGUAUUCCCUGGGACGACUCACCGAUGGUGCAACUGGCAUGUGUUAAAAAAAGCAAAGGAGUCACUAGGGAGCAAUUAUACAAAGAAGUCAGACUUCAGGACAGAGAUUCACCGUCUUUGUGACGAAAUGCUGACUAUAGAAGAAUUAGAAAAAGGGUGGUCCAAUUUAAUUGUGAAGUACGGGUUGGCGAGUAACACAUUCCUAGCUCAAGUUUACGAGGUUAGGGAGAAAUGGGCCAAACCAUAUUUCAGUGGGAAAUUCUGUGCAAAAAUGACAAGAACACAACGGAGUGAGAGUGCGAACCACAUGCUUAAAAACUAUGUGCCACCAGCAUGUCCAAUGAACGUUUUCGUUAAGCAGUAUGGCAAGCUACAGUAUGACAGAGAGCAGGAGGAAGGAUUUCAAGAGAAAAGGACAAGGCUGGGGGGCUGUUAUAAAAUCUAA
rnacentral:rRNA from 1 species